AGAGUUCCUGCCCUCACGGGUAGAAACCCCACCCUUGUAUAUAAUAUAUUGUUGCUUUGGCAGGCCGCCUCACGGCGUCGGCUCACGCUGGCUCGUGCCUGCCAGAGGACCCUAAACUCUGAAAUACAGUGUCGUCUGAGUACUAUUUAAUAGUUAAAACUUUCAACAACGGAUCUCUUGGUUCUGGCAUCGAUGAAGAACGCAGCGAAAUGCGAUAAGUAAUGUGAAUUGCAGAAUUCAGUGAAUCAUCGAAUCUUUGAACGCACAUUGCGCCCCUUGGUAUUCCGAGGGGCAUGCCUGUUCGAGCGUCAUUUUGACCAACUCCUACCUCGGUAGGGUCUUGGGCUUCGCCUCCGGGCGGGCCUUAAAACCAGUGGCGGUGCCUUGAGGCUCUACGCGUAGUAAUUCUUCUCGCGAUAGGGUCCUCGUGGUAACUUGCCAGCAACCCCCAACUUCUUAAGGUUGA
rnacentral:rRNA from 1 species